rnacentral:rRNA from 1 species
GAUGAACGCUGGCGGCGUGCUUAACACAUGCAAGUCGAACGAAGCUGUUAAAAGGAAGUCUUCGGAUAGAAUUUUAACAGACUUAGUGGCGGACGGGUGAGUAACGCGUGGAUAACCUGCCUUAUACAGGGGGAUAACGGAGAGAAAUUUCCGCUAAGACCGCAUAAGACCACAGCACCGCAUGGUGCGGGGGUAAAAUAUUAAUAGGUAUAAGAUGGAUCCGCGUCCGAUUAGCUAGUUGGUGAGGUAGAGGCUCACCAAGGCGACGAUCGGUAGCCGGCCUGAGAGGGUGAACGGCCACAUUGGGACUGAGACACGGCCCAAACCCCUACGGGAGGCAGCAGUGGGGAAUAUUGGACAAUGGGGGAAACCCUGAUCCAGCGACGCCGCGUGAGUGAAGAAGUAUUUCGGUAUGUAAAGCUCUAUCAGCAGGGAAGAAAAUGACGGUACCUGACUAAGAAGCCCUGGCUAACUACGUGCCAGCAGCCGCGGUAAUACGUAGGGGGCAAGCGUUAUCCGGAUUUACUGGGUGUAAAGGGAGCGCAGACGGCCAAGCAAGUCUGAAGUGAAAUGCAUGGGCUCAACCCAUGAAUUGCUUUGGAAACUGUUAGGCUUGAGUGUCGGAGGGGUAAGCGGAAUUCCUAGUGUAGCGGUGAAAUGCGUAGAUAUUAAGAGGAACACCGGAGGCGAAGGCGGCUUACUGGACGACAACUGACGUUGAGGCUCGAAGGCGUGGGGAGCAAACAGG